ACACAGGAGAGGAGGUGGUCCAAAGACAUGAAGGCUUAUUGGACUUGUGAGGUGGCGGCCAGCUAGCCGCUGCGCGACCUGUGAAGGUCGGCCGCAGCGGCCGGCUAAUCCACAGCCAACACCCGAACCCGCGAACGUCGGACUCGUCCCCCGACCGUGGUCAGGCUGAGAGCGAUCUCGACCCAACCACGACAGUUCGCGGGUUUGUCGCGU
rnacentral:sRNA from 1 species